rnacentral:rRNA from 1 species
UGGGGAAUAUUGGACAAUGGGCGCAAGCCUGAUCCAGCAAUGCCGCGUGGAUGAAGAAGGUUUUCGGAUUGUAAAGUCCUUUCGGCGGGGACGAUGAUGACGGUACCCGCAGAAGAAGCCCCGGCUAACUUCGUGCCAGCAGCCGCGGUAAUACGAAGGGGGCUAGCGUUGCUCGGAAUGACUGGGCGUAAAGGGCGCGUAGGCGGAUCGGACAGUCAGACGUGAAAUUCCCGGGCUCAACCUGGGGGCUGCGUUUGAGACGUUUGGUCUAGAGUUUGGAAGAGGGUCGUGGAAUUCCCAGUGUAGAGGUGAAAUUCGUAGAUAUUGGGAAGAACACCGGUGGCGAAGGCGGCGACCUGGUCCUUGACUGACGCUGAGGCGCGAAAGCGUGGGGAGCAAACA